UAGGGAAUCUUCGGCAAUGGGGGGAACCCUGACCGAGCAACGCCGCGUGAGUGAAGAAGGUUUUCGGAUCGUAAAGCUCUGUUGUUAAGGAAGAACGAGUGUGAGAAUGGAAAGUUCAUGCUGUGACGGUACUUAACCAGAAAGGGACGGCUAACUACGUCCCAGCAGCCGCGGUAAUACGUAGGUCCCGAGCGUUGUCCGGAUUUAUUGGGCGUAAAGCGAGCGCAGGCGGUUAGAUAAGUCUGAAGUUAAAGGCAGUGGCUCAACCAUUGUAGGCUUUGGAAACUGUUUAACUUGAGUGCAGAAGGGGAGAGUGGAAUUCCAUGUUUAGCGGUGAAAUGCGUAGAUAUAUGGAGGAACACCGGUGGCGAAAGCGGCUCUCUGGUCUGUAACUGACGCUGAGGCUCGAAAGCGUGGGGAGCGAACAGG
rnacentral:rRNA from 1 species